rnacentral:misc_RNA from 1 species
AAGUCGUAACAAGGUUUCCGUAGGUGAACCUGCGGAAGGAUCAUUACCAAAACAUAGCUGUCCGGCCGCAAGGCUCCGACGCUGCAACCCUUUGUGAACCAAAAAAACCUUUCGCUUCGGCAGCAGGGAGCUUUUCGCACCGCGAGCCUCCCGUGAGCCUGCCGCUGGCACCAAUCCAAAACCUGUCGUAAAAACCAUGUCUGAUAACCAAAUUUUCGAAUGAAAAUCAAAACUUUCAACAACGGAUCUCUUGGUUCCC